rnacentral:rRNA from 1 species
GAUGAACGCUGGCGGCGUGCCUAAUACAUGCAAGUCGAGCGAACGGACGAUAAGCUUGCUCCUUUGAUGUUAGCGGCGGACGGGUGAGUAACACGUGGAUAACCUUCUUAUAUGACUGGGAUAAUUUCGGGAAACCGGAGCUAAUACUGGCUCAUAUUUUCAACCGCAUGGUUCAAAAGUGAAUGACGGUCUUGCUGUCACUUAUAGAUGGAUCCGCGCUGCAUUAGCUAGUUGGUAAGGUAACGGCUUACCAAGGCAACGAUGCGUAGCCGACCUGAGAGGAUGAUCAGCCACACUGGAACUGAGACACGGUCCAGACUCCUACGGGAGGCAGCAGUAGGGAAUCUUCCGCAAUGGGCGAAAGCCUGACGGAGCAACGCCGCGUGAGUGAUGAAGGUCUUCGGAUCGUAAAGCUCUGUUAUUAGGGAAGAAAAUAUGUGUAAGUAACUGUGCACAUCUUGACGGUACCUAAUCAGAAAGCCACGGCUAACUACGUG